CUUCUUUCCUCACCCUCGUAAGACUACCCGCUGAACUUAAGCAUAUCAAUAAGCGGAGGAAAAGAAACCAACAGGGAUUGCCUCAGUAACGGCGAGUGAAGCGGCAAAAGCUCAAAUUUGAAAUCCCCCGGGAAUUGUAAUUUGAAGAGAUUUGGGUCCGGCCGGCGGGGGUUAAGUCCACUGGAAAGUGGCGCCACAGAGGGUGACAGCCCCGUGAACCCCUUCAAAGCCCUCAUCCCAGAUCUCCAAGAGUCGAGUUGUUUGGGAAAUGCA
rnacentral:rRNA from 1 species